ACGGAGGGGGUUAGCGUUGUUCGGAAUUACUGGGCGUAAAGCGCGCGUAGGCGGACUAGUCAGUCAGGGGUGAAAUCCCGGGGCUCAACCCCGGAACUGCCUUUGAUAUGCUAGUCUUGAGUUCGAGAGAGGUGAGUGGAAUUCCGAGUGUAGAGGUGAAAUUCGUAGAUAUUCGGAAGAACACCAGUGGCGAAGGCGGCUCACUGGCUCGAUACUGACGCUGAGGUGCGAAAGUGUGGGGAGCAAACGGAUUAGAGUACCCGGGUAGUCC
rnacentral:rRNA from 1 species